AUGGUACCCCAAGAAUAAGUCACGGCUAACUACGUGCCAGCAGCCGCGGUAAUACGUAGGUGACAAGCGUUAUCCGGAAUUACUGGGCGUAAAGCGCACGCAGGCGGUCAGAUAAGUCUGAUGUGAAACCUUCUGGCUUAACCAGAAGACGUCGUUGGAUACUGUUUGACUUGAGGCGAUGAGAGGAAUGCGGAAUCCCCGGUGUAAUGGUGGAAUAUGUAGAUAUCGGGGGGAACAUCUGAGGCGAAAGCGGCAUUCUGGCAUUAGCCUGACGCUCAUGUGCGAAAGCGUGGGGAGCAAACGGGAUUAGAUACCCCGGUAGUCCACGCUGUAAACGAUGAAUACUAGGCGUAGGUGGAGUUAAACCCAUCUGUGCCGAAGCCAACGCAUUAAGUAUUCCGCCUGGGAAGUACGGCCGCAAGGCUAAAACUCAAAGGAAUUGACGGGGGCCCGCACAAGCAGCGGAGCGUGUGGUUUAAUUCGAUGCAACACGAAGAACCUUACCCAGGUUUGACAUACAGGUAGUAGUGAAGCGAAAGCGGAACGAUCUUCGGA
rnacentral:rRNA from 1 species